AGUCGAGAAUAUUCGACAAUGGGCGAAAGCCUGAUCGAGCGACGCCGCGUGCUCGAAGAAGCCCUUCGGGGUGUAAAGAGCUUUUCUGGAGGAAGAACCUUCGGGUGACGGUACUCCAGGAAUAAGGAGAUGCUAAUCACGUGCCAGCAGCAGCGGUAAUACGUGAUCUUCAAGCGUUAUCCGGAUUUAUUGGGCGUAAAGCGUCCGUAGGCGCACCGCCAGGUUUUCUGUUAAACCCUAGGGCUCAACCUUAGAACUGCAGAAAAAACCGGCGGAGUAGAGGGCGUUAGAGGCUGAUGGAACGGUCGGUGUAGGGGUGAAAUCCGUUGAUAUCGACCGGAACACCAAAUGCGAAGGCAUUCAGCUGGGGCGGCCCUGACGCUGAGGGACGAAAGCGUGGGUAGCAAAAAGGAUUAGAUACCCUUGUAGUCCACGCUGUAAACGAUGGACACUAGCUAUUUGAAGUGUCGACCCUUCAAGUAGCGAAGCUAACGCGUUAAGUGUCCCGCCUGGGAAGUACGACGGCAACGUUAAAACUCAAAGGAAUAGACGGGGCUUCACACAAGCGGUGGAUCAUGUGGCUCAAUUCGACAAUAAGCGAAGAACCUUACCAGGGCUUGACAGACUAGUGAAAUCCUGCCGAAAGGCGGGACUCCCACAAGGCACUAGUCCAGGUGCUGCAUGGUUGUCGUCAGCAUGUGCUUUGAAGUGCUCCCUUAAAUGGGGUAACAUGCGCAACCCUCGCUCUAUGUUUUAUUUGUCAUAGGGAACUGCCCGAGAUAAUUGGGAGGAAGGUGAGGAUGACGCCAAAUCAGCAUGGCCCUUUGACGCCCUGGGCUGCACACAUGAUACAAUGGGACUGACAAUGGGCGAAGCCGUAAGGCGGAGGUAAUCCCAUCAAACGGUCUCUAAGUUCGGAUUGAGGUCUGAAAUUCGACCUCAUGAAGUCGGAAUCGCUAGUAAUCGCCAAUCAGCCAUGUGGCGAUGAAUAUGUUCCUGAAGCUUGUACUCACCGCCCGUCACAUUAAGGAAGCCGGCAGUAGCCGAAGUCCCUCGCAAGAAGGCCUAAGCUAAAGUCGGUAACAAGAAUG
rnacentral:rRNA from 1 species